rnacentral:rRNA from 1 species
ACGCUCGACACCUACGGGAAGCAGCAGUAGGGAAUCUUCCACAAUGGACGCAAGUCUGAUGGAGCAACGCCGCGUGAGUGAAGAAGGUCUUCGGAUCGUAAAACUCUGUUGUUAGAGAAGAACACGAGUGAGAGUAACUGUUCAUUCGAUGACGGUAUCUAACCAGCAAGUCACGGCUAACUACGUCCAGCAGCCGCGGUAAUCUGAGCGGGCUGGCAAGGC